rnacentral:rRNA from 1 species
UGGGGAAUUUUGCACAAUGGGCGCAAGCCUGAUGCAGCGACGCCGCGUGAGGGAUGAAGGCCUUCGGGUUGUAAACCUUUUUCGCUCAUGGUCAAGCCGCAGCUUUGGGUUGUGGUGAGGGUAGUGGGUAAAGAAGCGCCGGCUAACUACGUGCCAGCAGCCGCGGUACUACGUAGGGCGCGAGCGUUGUCCGGAAUUAUUGGGCGUAAAGCGCGCGCAGGUGGUUUAGAAAGUCUGAUGUGAAAGCCCACGGCUCAACCGUGGAGAGUCAUUGGAAACUAAUAAACUUGAGUGCAGGAGAGAAAAGUGGAAUUCCUAGUGUAGCGGUGAAAUGCGUAGAGAUUAGGAGGAACACCGGUGGCGAAAGCGGCUUUUUGGACUGAAACUGACACUGAGGCGCGAAAGCGUGGGGAGCAAACAGG